GAAGCUGGCUAGACAGUCGCCGUCACGUUUUUUGUGAGGGAGGAAAGUCCGGGCUGCGUAGAGUGAGAUGACGGCUAACGGCCGUACGCUGAAAGCUGGCAACAGUAUAAGGCGCGGAAUAGGGCCACAGAGACGAGCGUAUUAAGUUACGGUGAAACGCGGUAACCUCCAUCUGCAGCAAGACCAAAUAGGCUGGCAUUUUUACGCAAGUAAAUAAGGCGUGACUCGCGCUGCCAGCGGGUAGGUUGCUUGAGCGUACAAGUAAUUGUUCGCCUAGAUGAAUGACUGUCAGCUUUAGUAAUAAGGCCUACAGAACCCGGCUUAUCGGCCAGCUUCACUU
rnacentral:RNase_P_RNA from 1 species